ACCACGUGCUAAUUUCACUCUAAUACGUCUUUGAUUGUGCACUCUCAUGCCCCCUGUAAAGAGUUUUUUUGCCAUCAGGAAAUCUAACCGUAAUUGUUUUUUCUCGGGAUUGGAUUAAGUGAAAUAACAAUGUCUUUUUUCUUGUUAUGCAGUCAUUAGUGAGUGAACCCAGCGGUGGUUAGUGGGUGCGGUGGUGGUCGGUGUGGAUGCAGUGGUGGUGGUCACCGUGCAGCGUGGUGAGUGGCAGCACGGAGACAUCGUCGAGGUCGUCCCCGGCAGGAGGGAAGGGUGGCGACCCUCCCGCUAUCACCGCCAUCAUGGCCGUCUCCAUGGAGCCGUCGUGCACCGGGUCCCCAUCUGGGCAGCUCAACUCCUUAGGGUGCUCUGCUGGGUCUUCACGAGGCUCCGCAACCCGACUGGAGAGACGCCGCUUGCCGUGUUGAAUGCAGAGAGCAACGCGCCCGGUUGGACCGAUUUGGGUGAAACCGAGCAUGGGACUGAAUGGCCACACGUAGCAGAGAGCGCUGCACCACGGGAUCACCGCAUGGUCCCUGCCCCGGGCGCUGGGGCUCGCUGCCACUGCUUCCGCCGAUGGUGCCCGGAACUCGACGCACCUGACUGACGAACUCGGCCGCGUCUGCGAUGAGCGUCGCUCGUUCAUCCUCGUCGUCGUGCAGGCCGGCCUCGCGGCCCGCCCCCACCGCCUGCAUUGCCGUCUCCACCGCCUCCUU